AUGUGUCCAGGUUUCCACUUCCAGAUUCAGUCACUCACUUCAAUCUUCAUCUUCUUCUCGAACUCCAUCUCUCUCCUCUCUUACCUAAAGACCAACGCAUGCUUGUGAACCUGCCAGGUAAUCGAUCUGGGUCACCAGAGCUUUGGUGAGGUCGAAGAUGUUCUACUGGACGGCUUCCACGCAGGCCAUGAGGCCAUGGACAAGCCAGACUCUAUUUUCCUGCGAGUCGACAAUGAGGCCUGGGCGGGUUGAUGAUGACUUGGCGGUGGCGGGGAGGGAGAUUGGUUGUUGUGGUUGUGGAAUGGAGAAGGUGGCGGGGUGGUUGAAGAUGAGUUCGGAGGGAGAAGACCCGGAUGAGGAUUUGAGACGCUUUGGCUCCCGCGACGGAGAAUCGAGGUGGGUUUGGGUGAACACGGCAUUUCCGAGGAUAGAUUUGAAGUCAUAGUAGCUGGAAGAAUAGUGUAGAGGGCGAAAAGGUUGGUAGUGAUGACAGAGAAGACCCAGAAAGUAUGGUGUUUAAUCAGAGCUUCUACUUCUGCUUUUCCAUUGUUUUCUUCUUCCUUUUUCUGGGUCUUCCUGCUUCUUCUUCCUCUCCAACUUUCAUUUUAGGUAUUGCCAAAUUUAACAUCUAAAAUUUUAUAUAUGUAUUUAUAUGUUGUAUAUUGCUGGGUUUUGAUUAAAAUAAGCUUAGAUUCAACAAAGCUCUGAACUUUUUUAUUUAUGUAUGUGUGGCUGCAAAUGCUGUCUUUGAAUCUCAAGUUUCUAUCGGCCGGCACUUGCUACAGGCCAAGAAAAGUUAUUUCCUUCACACCCUUGUCUGGAGGGUUUUGAUUUAAUUUGGUGAAAGAAUAAAGCUGAUUCUAACCCUAGACAAUUUCUAGAUCUUCUCUGCAGAAUCCGGUAAGCUCUGGCGAUGUCAAAGAUCUAGAGCAUGAGUGACAGAGCAAGUCCGGGAGGCGAUCCAAACCGAAAAAAAAAAAAAAAGACUCGUGGACCUGUCCCGAACCGACCCGUUUCAAAUGGGCCGGGUUAGGUCUGGUUCCAGUGAUGAGAUUUGUAAUUUUCGGCCCGUGCCCACCCCUAGUUCAUACGCCCACUAGAACUCGAUUUUAAUUUCAUUUUAUUCUUUGUAACUCAAAAGUCGUCACUUUACUUUCUGAAACUCAUAGUGCGCUCCAUUUGCCCCAUAGAACUCGAUUUUGAUCCAAUUUUUCUCUGAAACUUGAAAGUCGUCUAUAUAAAACUCAAAAUUCGCUCCACAUUGCCUUAGAUCUAUUAAUUUCUUAUGUGGGUUUGAUUUGGGUGUGUCAAGGCAAUCAAUUUCUUUUUUAUUAUUUUUCAUCUCUUCAAUUGCUUUUAAACUUAAUAUUCUUUGAUUGUUGAAUGUUAACACAUAAUAGAGAUUUAUAAUAAAAUUUAUUGCCCGUGUGACAUAACCUUAUUGGGUAUUGGGUCUCACAUAUAUUUUAGGAGGCAACAUACAUGUUCAAGGAAAAGAGAGAGCCCACAAGUCAAAGUUGAACGAAUUUUGAGUUUUAGAGAGUAAAAUGUUGACUUUUGAGUUAUCAAAAUAGAGUUUUAGAGGAUGAAGCUAAAAAUAAGCCAUGAACUUAACCUUUGCAUAUACAAAUAACACAUGUCAUUUUCUACACAAAAAAGCAAGACUUUUAAUGCUUCGGGCUAGAAAUUAAAGGAGGAAAAUAAAAAAUAAUAUAAUUUCAAUGCAUUGAAUGUCUUUUUAUUUUUUUAUAAAAAAUGACACGACACUUGUUAAAUUGAGAAAUUUCAUUUGCAAAGGUUAAUGU
rnacentral:lncRNA from 1 species